GUGAACGCUGGCGGUAGGCCUAACACAUGCAAGUCGAACGGCAGCACAGUAAGAGCUUGCUCUUACGAGUGGCGAGUGGCGGACGGGUGAGGAAUACAUCGGAAUCUACUUUUUCGUGGGGGAUAACGUAGGGAAACUUACGCUAAUACCGCAUACGACCUACGGGUGAAAGCAGGGGAUCUUCGGACCUUGCGCGAUUGAAUGAGCCGAUGUCGGAUUAGCUAGUUGGCGGGGUAAAGGCCCACCAAGGCGACGAUCCGUAGCUGGUCUGAGAGGAUGAUCAGCCACACUGGAACUGAGACACGGUCCAGACUCCUACGGGAGGCAGCAGUGGGGAAUAUUGGACAAUGGGCGCAAGCCUGAUCCAGCCAUACCGCGUGGGUGAAGAAGGCCUUCGGGUUGUAAAGCCCUUUUGUUGGGAAAGAAAAGCAGCAGGUUAAUACCCCGCUGUUCUGACGGUACCCAAAGAAUAAGCACCGGCUAACUUCGUG
rnacentral:rRNA from 1 species